rnacentral:snRNA from 1 species
GAAGGCGACGUAAGACGGU